rnacentral:rRNA from 1 species
CCUACGGGUGGCAGCAGUGGGGGAUAUUGCACAAUGGGGGAAACCCUGAUGCAGCGACGCCGCGUGGGCGAAGAAGUAUUUCGGUAUGUAAAGCCCUAUCAGCAGGGAAGAAGAAAUGACGGUACCUGAGUAAGAAGCACCGGCUAAAUACGUGCCAGCAGCCGCGGUAAUACGUAUGGUGCAAGCGUUAUCCGGAUUUACUGGGUGUAAAGGGAGCGUAGACGGCGCUGCAAGUCCGGAGUGAAAGUCCAUGGCUUAACCAUGGUACUGCUCUGGAAACUGUGGAGCUUGAGUGCGGGAGGGGCAGGCGGAAUUCCUAGUGUAGCGGUGAAAUGCGUAGAUAUUAGGAGGAACACCGGCGGCGAAGGCGGCCUGCUGGACCGUAACUGACGUUGAGGCUCGAAAGCGUGGGGAGCAAACAGGAUUAGAUACCCUUGUAGUC